UUCAGUCAAGCACUGGUUAUCAAGCACUCAAGCACUGGUUAUCUUUUGACAUUAAGAUUAUUAUUAUUUCUUUAAAAACCCCAAAAGUGGUGCAUCAGACUAUUUGAAGCAGAGAUGGGUACCUUGCAGUGCUUUUGGAUGCUGUUAUGUUUUUGCAUUCCUGCUUUACACACUACACUCUCGUUCAUCAUGACUCAGUCACCGGGGUUCACAUCCAUCUCAGUUGGUGACCCCAAUGAAUUAAGAUGUGUAUUUGACCAGACAGUUAUGUACUGCUAUAACACAGCUACUUUGUACAAGGUGAAUCUCAACACAUUCUUAUGAUGUGUUACAUUCAUACGAGCAGACAGAAAAGUACGUUUGAAGUAAGUUUGGAGCAGAAGAAAUAGAAAUAAACCUUGUGUAAAUUGUCAGCUUUACGCUAAGCUAAAAUGCUAUUUCUAGCCAUUUUACAUGCAUGUUACCAGGAACGAUCAUAUUUUUUUAUUAAGAAAAUUCACGUUGGAUCAUAAUUUCUUUUUUUCUAAUAAGACCUUUGAUAUUAGAGCACAAACCAUAUUCUUGAUAUUAAUUUUUGUAUUGUUUUCCUGUAAAAAAUAUCUAAUAAUCCUUAAAACAAGAUCAAUUUGAUUUAUCUUGUUUUAGAAACAACACUGCAUAAGAUGUUUUGGUUUUUCAGAGAAUGUAUUUUUAACAUGUGUAUUUUGUCUUACUGUACUGGCAGAGUUUUUAUAGUCAGAACAAGUGAAAAAAUCUACCAGUGCUGAAGAAGUAAUCCAAAGUAUUUAGAAUACGUUACUGACCUUGUGUAAUCUAACACAAUACGUUACAAAUUACAUUUUACAGUAUGUAUUCUGUAAUCUGUAGUGGAAUACAUUUCAAAAGUAACCCUUCCAACCCUGAUCUCAAGACAGGUGAAAUCAUGCCUUCAAGGUUUAGCAAGUCUAAGAGUAAACCUUGACCCAAUGAUAAAACUUGCAUUUUAACUAUAAAGAGGCAACUCUGAAAGAUUCGGGCUUAUACUAUUGCAUUAGCCAACAAUGGCAACAAUGGCAAUGGAACCAAUGUGAUCGUUACAGGUAAAUUUGAAGUGGCAUUUUAUCAAUACUUUUUCUCAUGGUUAGGGUUAUAUACCAAAAUGUAUAAAAUUUUCACUCGAUGAAGUAACUCUGUUACUCUUUUGUGAAUUUUCCUCGGUUUAUAGAUCAAAUAUCUAUCCCACCAGAGCUAUCCAUCCUAUACUCACCACAAGAAACUUACAUAUCACCCAUCCCACUGCAGUGUGUUGUGACCGGAGUUGUCCCAUCUCAGGUCCGGGUGUUCUGGAUGAUUGGUCAGAAAGAGCACACAGAAUGGACCGAGUUAGCCUGGACAAACGCCACUGAUUUAGCCACAGAAUUCACACGUGCUCAUCUUUCUGUUCCUGCUGAAGAGUGGACUAGAGAUGAUGAAAUUCAGUGCAUUGUUAAAUAUAAUGGCGAGAACUUCUCCAAAAGUCUUGUCCGAGAGGAUAUGUGAAUGGCACAAGUUUCUGAGAAAUAAAUGGGAAAAUGUUGCAUGUUAGGCCUAUUCUUCUUUUCAAUUCUGAAGUAGCAUUCCCCAUUCUUAUUAGUUUAAACUCUGAUCAUGUGGAAAUAUUUCAGGAUCUAAUUAAAAAUGAAUCUGGCUUCUGUAUGGUGCUGUGGAGCAGUAUUCUUGAUUGUGGCCAUUUCUGUUUGUUUAUACCAAGGUGAGCAAAUUCUAAAUACUUGAAAAAGCCUGACAAUAGGAAUUAGACAUUACACAGAAUAAGCUUUGCAUGUGUACAUGUUUUACUGCAGUGUCCUAUCCUUUUUUUUUUUUUUUUUUU